AGGAGGAACAACCACGGUGGCGGCGGCGGCAGCUCUGAAAACCUGGAGUCAGCCCCCGCAGGAACUCUGAAGCACUCUGCCUGCAGGGCCUGGAGGCUCCGGGGCGGG
rnacentral:pre_miRNA from 1 species